rnacentral:rRNA from 1 species
GACGAACGCUGGCGGCGUGCCUAAUACAUGCAAGUCGAGCGCAGGAAGUCAUCCGAACCCUUCGGGGGGACGUUGACGGACUGAGCGGCGGCCGGGUGAGUAACACGUAAAGAACCUGCCCUCAGGUCUGGGAUAACCACGAGAAAUCGGGGCUAAUACCGGAUGGGUCAUCGGACCGCAUGGUCCGAGGAUGAAAGGCGCUCCGGCGUCGCCUGGGGAUGGCUUUGCGGUGCAUUAGCUAGUUGGUGGGGUAAUGGCCCACCAAGACGACGAUGCAUAGCCGACCUGAGAGGGUGAUCGGCCACACUGGGACUGAGACACGGCCCAGACUCCUACGGGAGGCAGCAGUAGGGAAUCUUCCACAAUGGACGAAAGUCUGAUGGAGCAACGCCGCGUGAACGAUGAAGGCCCUCGGGUCGUAAAGUUCUGUUGUAAGGGAAGAACAAGUACCGCAGGCAAUGGCGGCACCUUGACGGUACCUUGCGAGAAAGCCACGGCUAACUACGUG